AAGGCUGUGAGACCCCUGAUUUCCCACUUCACACCUCUAUAUUUCUGUGUGUGUGUCUUUAAUUCCUCUAGUGCCAGUGAGUUAGGGUCUCCCAGACCGAGCUGGUCUCAGCAAGAAAACUUAAAAAUUAGUAAGGCUAGUAGGACGUGGUGGCUCACACCUGUAAUCCCAGCACUUUGGGAGGCCGAGGCAGGCGGAUCAUGAGGUCAGGAGUUUGAGACCAGCCUGGCCAAUAUGGUGAAACCCCAUCUCUACUUAAAAAAAAAAAAAGAGUAAGGCUAAUGACAUUUUGUGGUGGCAAGAUUCCUGGGAAAACAGGAAUUCAUAACUAUCUAGGGCUAUUAUUUUGAAAGGAAAUGUGGCAAUAUCUGGGAAAUUUUAAGAUGAGCACAUCUAUGAUUCAGCAAUUCCACUAAUAGAUGUUUAUUGGGGACAAAACUCACCCAUGUGCACAAGGAGACAUUUCAGCCCUGUUCAUAAUAGCAAAAAGUCCAAAAGCCUAAUCAGUGCUCAAUUAAGGAUGGGUAAUUUGAGCCGGGUGCAGUGGUGUGCACUUGCAGUCCCAGCUACUCCAGAGGCCGAGGCAGGAGAAUUCCUUGAGCCCAGGAGUUUGAGACCAGCCUGGGUGAUACAGUGAAAUGACGACAGUGACGAUGACGGAGGAAGAGGAAGAGGAGGAGAAGAGGAAGAGGAAGAAGGAGAAGAAGAAGAAGAGAAGGAGGAGGAAGAGGAGAAGAAGAAGAAGAAGAAAGUAAAAGAACGGAGAAAUGUAUCAUGCAAACAGAAAUCACAAGAAAGCUGGUGUCGCUCUACUAAUAUUACAGAAUAGACUUGAAAACAAAAAGAUGAUACUCUUUUAAAGAGAGACAUUUUAUAAUCAUAAAAGGGUCAAUGUGUCAGGAAGAUAUAAUAAUCAUAAACAUAUAUGCACUUAACAACAGAGGCCAAAUAUAUGUGAAGUAAAAACUGACAAAUGAAGGGAGAACUAGGCAAUUCAACAAUAGUAGUUGAAUACUUUCAAUAAUGAAUACAAUAUCUUGGCAGAAGACCAACAAUGAAAUAGAAAACUUAAACUACACUAUAAACCAAAAACUUAAACUACACUAUAAACCAACUAUACCUAAAAUACAUCUUUAGAACACUGCACCCAAUAAAUUAUACAAGAAAAGAAAAAUUGACCUUUGAACAACACGGGUUUGUGUUUGAACUCUGUUCAUUCACUUAUAUGUUACUUUUCUGCUGCCUCUGCUACCCCUGAUAUGACAAUACCAACCCUUCUCUCUUUCUCCCUCUUCCUCCUCCUCCUCAGCCAACUCAGCAUGAACACAAUGAGGAUGAAGGCAUUUAUGAUGACCCCACUUCCUCUUAAUAAACAGUAAAUAUAUAUUAUCUUCCUUGUGAUUUUCUUAAUAACAUUUUC
rnacentral:lncRNA from 10 species